rnacentral:rRNA from 1 species
GACGAACGCUGGCGGCGUGCUUAACACAUGCAAGUCGAACGGAAAGGCCCUGCUUUUGUGGGGUGCUCGAGUGGCGAACGGGUGAGUAACACGUGAGUAACCUGCCCUUGACUUUGGGAUAACUUCAGGAAACUGGGGCUAAUACCGGAUAGGAGCUCCUGCUGCAUGGUGGGGGUUGGAAAGUUUCGGCGGUUGGGGAUGGACUCGCGGCUUAUCAGCUUGUUGGUGGGGUAGUGGCUUACCAAGGCUUUGACGGGUAGCCGGCCUGAGAGGGUGACCGGCCACAUUGGGACUGGGAUACGGCACAGACUCCUACGGGAGGCAGCGGUGGAGAAUAGUGCACAAUGGGCGGAAGCCUGAUGCAGCAACGCCGCGGGCGGGAUAACGGGCUUCGGGUUGGAAUCCGCUUUCGCCUGUUACGAAGCGUGAGUGACGGUAACGGGUAAAGAAGCACCGGCUAACUACGUG